rnacentral:rRNA from 1 species
CCUACGGGAGGCAGCAGUGGGGAAUAUUGCACAAUGGGGGAAACCCUGAUGCAGCGACGCCGCGUGAAGGAAGAAGUAUUUCGGUAUGUAAACUUCUUUUCUCAGGGACGAAGCAAGUGACGGUACCUGAGGAAUAAGCCACGGCUAACUACGUGCCAGCAGCCGCGGUAAUACGUAGGUGGCAAGCGUUAUCCGGAUUUACUGGGUGUAAAGGGCGUGUAGGCGGGACUGCAAGUCAGAUGUGAAAACCAUGGGCUCAACCUAUGGCCUGCAUUUGAAACUGUAGUUCUUGAGUACUGGAGAGGCAGACGGAAUUCCUAGUGUAGCGGUGAAAUGCGUAGAUAUUAGGAGGAACACCAGUGGCGAAGGCGGUCUGCUGGACAGCAACUGACGCUGAGGCGCGAAAGCGUGGGGAGCAAACAGGAUUAGAUACCCUUGUAGUC